UACGUAGGGUGCAAGCGUUGUCCGGAAUUAUUGGGCGUAAAGAGCUCGUAGGCGGUCUGUUGCGUCGGCUGUGAAAACCCGGGGCUCAACCCCGGGCCUGCAGCCGAUACGGGCAGACUAGAGUUCGGCAGGGGAGACUGGAAUUCCUGGUGUAGCGGUGAAAUGCGCAGAUAUCAGGAGGAACACCGGUGGCGAAGGCGGGUCUCUGGGCCGAUACUGACGCUGAGACGCGAAAGCGUGGGGAGCGAACAGG
rnacentral:rRNA from 1 species